GGACUUACCUGGCAGGGGAGAUACCAUGAUCAUGAAGGUGGUUUCCCCAGGGCUUAUCCAUUGCACUCCGGGUAUGCUGACCCCUGCGAUUUCCCCAAAUGUGGGAAGCUCGACUGCCUAAUUUGUGGUAGUGGGGGACUGUGUUCGCACUCUCCCCUG
rfam:Myotis brandtii contig322021, whole genome shotgun sequence.